ACCAGCACACGAGGGACACAGCAAUUCACUGAUAAAAAAAAAAAAAAAAAAAAAAAAAAAAGAUACACAAAAAACUGUCCCCAGCCUUCCCUGCGUCUUCCCCUCCGAAGUUACAAUUGGGGAACAGGUCGUGGGGGUGUCUUUGUGGAUAGGUAACGCUGGAUUAACAUCAAGAUUUCUGCUCUUAUGGGUCCAGUGGAAUUUAUAUGCUAAACAUAUAUGUCCUCAAGGCUCCAACAUGGAAGUUAUUGCCCGAGGGGAUCCAGGUGAGAGAAAUGACUACAACAACCCAUCACCUGGUCUCUUCUGCCAAAAGGGGGGAAAAAUCAAGAGCUGCUCUUAAAAGAAGUUGCCCUUGCUGGUGCUCGGGGUAAAAAUAGAGGCGGCCCGCUCGGAGCGGCUUUGGCCCAGACUCCAGCGCCGCGAGCCGGGCUCGAGCAGCGGCCGCGUCCGGCGUGAUCCCUGGGAGCUGCCAGCAGGUGCUGCUCAAGAGCAUUUGCUGAAGAGGAGGAGGGA